GGGAAGGUGGCUCAGUGGUACAGUGCUUGCCUUGCAUGCAUGAGGCCCUAGGUUCAAUUCCCCAGCCCCA
rnacentral:tRNA from 1 species